CCUACGGGUGGCAGCAGUGAGGAAUAUUGGUCAAUGGACGAGAGUCUGAACCAGCCAAGUAGCGUGAAGGAUGACUGCCAUAUGGGUUGUAAACUUCGUUUAUAUGGGAAUAAAAUGUUCCAAGUGUGGGAUUUUGUAUGUACCAUAUGAAUAAGGAUCGGCUAACUCCGUGCCAGCAGCAGCGGUAAUACGGAGUAGCCGAGCGUUAUCCGGAUUUAUGGGGUUUAAAGGGAGCGUAGGUGGAUUGGUAAGUCAGUUGUGAAAGUUUGCGGCUCAACCGUAAAAUUGCAGUUGAAACUGGCAGUCUUGAGUGGACGAGAAGUAUGCGGAAUGCGUGGUGUAGCGGUGAAAUGCAUAGAUAUCACGCAGAACUCCGAUUGCGAAGGCAGCAUACCGGCGCCCAACUGACGCUGAAGCACGAAAGCGUGGGUAUCGAACAGGAUUAGAUACCCGGGUAGUC
rnacentral:rRNA from 1 species